rnacentral:ncRNA from 2 species
AAAAAAGCGAUGAGAGAAAAAAUCUAAGACAAGAGACAGAGAGUGCCUAGGGGUGAGAAGGCAUACAAUCCUUAGAUAACACAUUCUUGAGUGCGUGUGCGAAAUCAAAUGAAACUAGUGCACGACGGGUGGUUCCGUUAAAAACCAGGGCUCAGUAAUCUGAGUUCAUGAGGGUAGAAAAGCGAUUUUCUACUGAAAUCAAAGGUGGAACCACGUUUCAUACGUCCUUGCA